UUGUUGGACUGACCGCUCCGCUCCGCGCCGGGCCUCAGUGCAGCCGUCCCCCCGUAUCGGAGCGCUGCUCUGCGUGGAUCAUGAGGGAGCUCGGCUCGGUGCGCUCCGGUCCAGGUUGAAAAUGCUGUGUCCAGUGGGGUAACUGGCAUAUCCUGCACGGAUGAACAACGGCUCUGGAAUGUGGGGACUCAGAGGAAACUUGGCCCAAAGCGAUUGACAGGACAACUGCAUACCUGUCUGCCUGCCUGCUUGCCAAACCCACCUCUGCUUCAAUCCAGCCAGCAUCCUGCAUAAACUCUCUUUUCCUCUGACAAAAAUGCACUUUUUCCUUUAUCUCAAUCUUUCACUUCAGAAAUAAAUUCCAUUACUUUUUAAACCAAA